rnacentral:rRNA from 1 species
AUUGAACGCUGGCGGCAGGCUUAACACAUGCAAGUCGAGCGGGGGAAGGUAGCUUGCUACCGGACCUAGCGGCGGACGGGUGAGUAAUGCUUAGGAAUCUGCCUAUUAGUGGGGGACAACAUCUCGAAAGGGAUGCUAAUACCGCAUACGUCCUACGGGAGAAAGCAGGGGAUCUUCGGACCUUGCGCUAAUAGAUGAGCCUAAGUCGGGUUAGCUUGUUGGUGGGGUAAAGGCCUACCAAGGCGACGAUCUGUAGCGGGUCUGAGAGGAUGAUCCGCCACACUGGGACUGAGACACGGCCCAGACUCCUACGGGAGGCAGCAGUGGGGAAUAUUGGACAAUUGGGGGAACCCUGAUCCAGCCAUGCCGCGUGUGUGAAGAAGGCCUUAUGGUUGUAAAGCACUUUAAGCGAGGAGGAGGCUACUUUAGUUAAUACCUAGAGAUAGUGGACGUUACUCGCAGAAUAAGCACCGGCUAACUCCGUGCCAGCCGCCGCGGUAA